CCUAAGUUUUCACUCAAAACAUUACAUUGCCCAAGUUCCCUUCAAUUACUUAAUUAAUUUGCCAAAGGAUUCCAACAUAAUUAAAUUAUUUCAUCAAAUUUUACACGUCGUCUUCUCCUUCUCCCACAAUUUGAAAACCACAGAAAUCGCAUAUAUGCUUCUCUUCCUCUUUCUCUCAACCACCGCCGCCGACGAGUGCUCCAGUCGACGCCAUCAGGCCGUCGACGGCUCCUCAUUGGCGCACCUCAGUUUCUCAUCUCUCUCAGAUGUGAAAUUCAGAGAGAACCAAGUCUUUUCUUCUCUCUCUCGGUGAUUCUGGACGCUUGACGUCUCAGUACCGUCUCCAACCAAUUCCACCUCGCUGAUUACGGUUUCUGGAUUUGCAAAGUCCCUGACCCGUCUCCAGCUGCUCGGCCGUUCACAACGCCACGUCCAUCUCCUCUGCACAGGGCCCGCCGUCUCUCGCAAUGAGCGCCCGUUUUUCCAGCAAGCUCGUCGCUGUCGCUUUCCGUGGAAACUCACUGCCGAGCUAUCAUUGUCGCGGCUUGUUGCUGCUGGCUCAGAUUUGCGUUGCCGUCGUUAUGGUACUUCAAGCUUGCUGACAAGUUAUGCUAUUGUUGUUGUCAA